CUCUGCGCAGCCAAUCCGCCAAUCUUUGUUGUGAUUGGUCCUCCAGGCAGUAGCGCGCAUGCGCGCCGGAAAGCGGAAGUGGCGUACCUGUGUUCUGACCGCUCUGCGCAGCUAAUCCGCCAAUAUCUAUUGUGAUUGGUCCUCCAGGUAGUAGCGCGCAUGCGCGCCUAGAAGCGGAAGGGGCGUGUCUACGUUCUGACCGCUCUGCGCAGCCAAUCCGCCAAUCUCUAUUGUGAUUGGUCCUCCAGGUAGUAGCGCGCAUGCGCGCCGGAAAGCGGAAGUGGCGUCCCUAUGUUCUGACCGCUCUGCGCAGCUAAUCCGCCAAUCUUUAUUGUGAUUGGUCCUCCAGGCAGUAGCGCGCAUGCGUCCAAAAGAGUCCAACUAUCACCCGUCACUACGACCCAGUAAAGGGCGGGCGAGCAGUCAUUUCGUGGACUGCUGGCUCAACGAUGUUCUCCCUCUUCCAAUCCAGGAUGGCCUUUGUCUGUUUCCAUGGUUCUAUGCCCGAGUCCAAACAGGAACUUGACUGUUUCAGCUCCAAGCAGUCCUUGUGCACAUCGCGGCAUCCAAUUGGCUCGUUGUUGCAUGUGACUGUCAGGUGCAUGCCCCAGCACUGCGCACACGUGCUAGCUCAGCGGUUCUCGCUGCUGCCAUCCAUUGAAGAGAAUUCGGUACUGCAUGCGCUGCUCAGAUCCUGCAGGCAGCACAAUGCAUGCGCGCAGAAAUGCAGAAGUGGCGUAUCUGAGUUCAGACCACUAUGUGCAGUGAACACGCCAAUCUUCAUUGUGAUUAGUCAUCCAGGCGGCUGUGCACAUGCGCUCGAGGACAUGCAGAAGACAUGGAUUUCUCCAAAUUCUUUGCAGUGGAGGCGAGCAGAGCAGCCAUGGACCGUCAGCUCUGAGCAAUGCUCCCCUGUCUACUCCGCAAUGUCUCUUGUCUAAUUCUGUGUUUUUAUGCCUGCACCCGCGCCGAGCACUGGCCGUUUUGUCUCGAGAGUGCCCAUGCACGCACCGUGGCAUCUGAUUGGCUAAUCGCGGCAUGAGAUUGACAGGUGCCCGCCCCAACGCUGCGCAUGCGCACUAGCUCUGCGACACUUGCUUCUGCCACCUAUUGAAGAGAAUUCAGUACUGCAGGUGCUGCUCUGCACAUGCGGAUGGCUUCGUUUUCUGUAGCUGCUCAAGAGCAGCGCUUCUGUCUGUCUUUCCCUUCUGCCAGUUCACAGCCCUGGGAAUGGACUGGUUCGGCUCACAGCUGCCCCUGAAUGCCUCAUGGCAUCCAAUUUGCUCAUUGCUGCGGUGGACUGGCAGGCACCCCCCAGCCAUUUAAUAACUGCUCUCUGCUGCAGGGGAUCUGGAGCUGCUCAGAGAUUCCUGGGGCAUGGUACUGAUGUGGAGCCAUCCCCAGAACCAGUGUGGAGUGGCCCCAGCACUGAAACAUCCCAGGCCCGGCUUGGAGUGUCUCUGUGGUCACCCCAAGUGGCACACUGCCCAGCUUCCUAGGAGUUGCUUUUCCACCGUCUCUGGGCACCUCGCCACGUGCUGCAGGUAAGCAGCCACGCCCACAGGGUGCAGCCAUGUUGCUCGGCGCGUGCCUGCCUCAGAGGCGCUGCCCUGCAUGCGUGGAUAAUGCCUGCAGUACCGCCCGGAGACCAGUGGAGGGCACUAGGGAGCUGCGGAGCUGCCGGGAGGGGGAAGAACCGCUCCGUGGCUCUGCAGGGGAACAGAACAAAUCCUGAAACAGAGCAGGAAGCAAGCAGGAAACCGCAUCAUGCUAGACUGAAUGGGGAAAACCCCCCACCUGAUCACCUGCCGAUUCUUGCCCGGAUGCUGCUCAGCAAUGGAAAGAUGCAAGUCCAGGCCCUUCAGUGACUUCCCCCUCCCCAGGAGGCACACUCCGAGCUGGUGCCACGUGAUCCUGCUGCCACAAUGGAAGCUGAACCCUGAGACAGACCCCAGGGCACCAUAACACAGACCAGCUGCUUCUACUGCACCCUCAUCCACACACCACCUCAGCAGGAACAGUCCUGAAUCCACCCUAGAAAUGGGUGCUGCCCCCUCCCCUUUGCCCCAAUCUCUCCUUCCGCCAUGGCGCAGCACCGGGGGUCCUCCCACAAAAGCUGGUCCCUAGACAAGGCACAAGAAUGCCUUUGCUUCAUCCCAAAUUACACUGCACUAAAAUGCCCUGUUUUGGCCCUAUA